CCACACAGUAGAAAAAUGCAAAUGUCUGAUAAAAGUUAAUUAAUCCUUUAAUUAGUGUCACCCUAACAACACAUAGCAACCGGUGUGCUUUAAUAUAGCUUAAAUUUAUUAACCUUAUCCGAGUAUCCUAAUUCGAUAUACAUCUCGUAUAUAGACCUCAUAUGGCAGAUCGGGAUUUAAAGAUUAGCUUAAUUGUAGAUACAUAACUCUUUACCGCAUGCUAUUUCUCAGCGUUUUGACGCUUGAUAAUAUAUAUUACUUAACAACAAAACAUAUAGCUGUAUACCCCGAAUAUAUAAGUUUUAGAUAUAUAACACUAAUGCUAUUUCAUAUAGUAUCAGAUUUUUUACUCCUCUAGGAGCUAAAUUAAAGGAAUCACUUGACAAUAACAGCAAAAUGCCAGAGCUGUACUUAUAAAACUCCAGACAACAACAUAUUCUCUUGUGUAUAACCCUAACUAUUGUAUCAUACACGUGGAGGGACGCUAAAAAAUGCUUAGUCAGCAAAUUUUGUCCAAUUUCGCCCGGACAGGCCCGCGUGACGUCAUUACUUGCCUGAUCCUACCCGCGGACGUCACUACGCACCCUCAUUUGUGCGGCCCCUCUUAAUUACUUGCAUACGCCGCCCCUUGCAUAGUAAUUACUUGCAUAUAUAAUGAUGCG
rnacentral:lncRNA from 1 species